rnacentral:lncRNA from 1 species
CGUGUCCGAGCUUAAACCCUUCUACCCUAUCCACUGCGAGAUGUUGCACUAAGUGAUAACCACCCCACAUGUAUUCAUUGGAUGCUAAAUGGAAGGAAGGAAGGAAGGGUCUUCCAAAAUUGAGAGAGAGAGAGAGAGAGAGAAUGAGAGGGAAGAAAAAUCAUUGAUCUUUCGAUGAAUCAAACUUUUACUCAACCGAGUUUAAUGUUUAAGCCACAUAGGACAGACCCAUUGGCGAUGACAAUAGUUUCCAUAGAAAUUCGUAUGAUACCUUCCUCACGACAAAUAUGUUUGUAUUCCUACCAUAAAAUGACUUUACCUUAACCGAAUAAUACGACGAAUCUUCUAAUAAAUAAUCUCCAGAAUAUAUGGGAUCGAAUAUUA